AGCAGCCGCGGUAAUUUCAGCUCCAAUAGCGUAUAUUAAAGUUGUUGCAGCUAAAAGCUCGUAGUUGAAUUUCGGGAUUAGUACGUUGGUCGUGCCUUCGGUACGUACUGGUGUUACUGAUUCCUACCUUCUGACGAACCAUCAUGUCAUUAAUUUGGUGUGGCGGGGAAUCAGGACUGUUACUUUAGAAAAAUUGAGUGUUUAAAGCAGGCUCGCGCUUGAAUACAUUAGCAUGGAAUAAUGAAAUAGGACGUUGACCCUUAUUUUGUUGGUUUCUAGGAUUGACGUAAUGAUUAAUAGGGAUAGGUUGGGGGCUAUUAGUAUUCAAUUGUCAGAGGUGAAAUUCUUGGAUUUAUUAGAAGACUAACUACU
rnacentral:rRNA from 1 species